AGUGAACGCUGGCGGUAGGCCUAACACAUGCAAGUCGAACGGCAGCACAGUAAGAGUUUGCUCUUAUGGGUGGCGAGUGGCGGACGGGUGAGGAAUACAUCGGAAUCUACCUUUUCGUGGGGGAUAACGUAGGGAAACUUACGCUACUACCGCAUACGACCUUCGGGUGAAAGCAGGGGACCUUCGGGCAUUUCGCGGAUAGCUGAGCCGAUGUCGGAUUAGCUAGUUGGCGGGUUAAAGGCCGACCAAGGCGACGAUCCGUAGCUGGUCUGAGAGGAUGAUCAGCCACACUGGAACUGAGACACGGUCCAGACUCCUACGGGAGGCAGCAGUGGGGAAUAUUGGACAAUGGGCGCAAGCCUGAUCCAGCCAGACCGCGUGGGUGAAGAAGGCCUUCGGGUUGUAAAGCCCUUUUGUUGGGAAAGAAAAGUAGUCGGCUAAUACCCGGUUGUUCUGACGGUACCCAACGAAUAAGCACCGGCUAACUUCGUG
rnacentral:rRNA from 1 species